rnacentral:rRNA from 1 species
UACGGAGGGGGCUAGCGUUGUUCGGAAUUACUGGGCGUAAAGCGCACGUAGGCGGAUAUUUAAGUCAGGGGUGAAAUCCCGGGGCCCAACCCCGGAACUGCCUUUGAUACUGGGUAUCUGGAGGUCGAGAGAGGCGAGUGGAAUUCCGAGUGUAGAGGUGAAAUUCGUAGAUAUUCGGAGGAACACCAGUGGCGAAGGCGGCUCGCUGGCUCGAUACUGACGCUGAGGUGCGAAAGCGUGGGGAGCAAACAGG